GCUCAGUUGGUUAAGCGUCUGACUUCAGCUCAGGUCAUGAUGUUGCAGUUCGUGGGUUCAAGCCCCGCACUGGGCU
rnacentral:tRNA from 1 species